rnacentral:rRNA from 1 species
UACGUAGGGUCCGAGCGUUGUCCGGAAUUACUGGGCGUAAAGAGCUCGUAGGUGGUUUGUCACGUUGUUCGUGAAAACCCACAGCUCAACUGUGGGCGUGCGAGCGAUACGGGCAGACUAGAGUACUGCAGGGGAGACUGGAAUUCCUGGUGUAGCGGUGGAAUGCGCAGAUAUCAGGAGGAACACCGGUGGCGAAGGCGGGUCUCUGGGCAGUAACUGACGCUGAGGAGCGAAAGCGUGGGGAGCAAACAGG